GGUGAGAUGGCCGAGCGGUCUAAGGCGCCAGACUAAGGUAGUACACCUCCAUGGAAUCUGGUCCGAAAGGGCGUGGGUUCGAAUCCCACUCUCAUCA